UCCAAGCACAAUCUUUCCAUCAAGUUAUUUACAAAGAAGAGAUACAAGUGUUGAAAUCAAAUUACAAGUGCUGGAGUGAUUUACAAGAAAAGAGAUACAAGUGCUAAAAUCAAAUAAUAUAAGAAUAAUACAACAUCAUAUCGAAUAACCUACUAUGGGGUUUUAACAAGAGCCCAUAUAUUUUUCAAUCUCCAACAAUUGUUCUAUUACAACAAGGCACAAGAUCCUAGCCACAAUUGCUUUGUUUCAAAUAUACUAAAACACGAAUAAGAAUUCUAAUCAAGGAGGUGAAUGUUGGGAUAGAGAUCCAAGUUUCCACUCAUCUCUUUCAAACUCAAACCCAUGUUCACAUCCCCAUUCCCGCUUAGAAACCCAACGAGUCUAUUAUAAGUGACAAUCGAGCCUCAUCCUUCUCUUGAUCAUUUCAUCGAACACUCAAUGGGCUUCUUCAAAUCUAACCUUUUCACAAU
rnacentral:lncRNA from 1 species